rnacentral:lncRNA from 1 species
CCUUGAUUCUAGUCGUGGUUCCAGCCUCGAGAACCUGGAACAAACAGGGACUUGAGAGACUCGAAAAAAAUAGAGCUUAGACCCGACGGCCGUGGAGCUGUGGCUGUCCCGAGGAGAAGUACAGGGACGAAAAUUUCUUUUUUUUCUCUUGGUUCCAGCCUCGAGCACCUGGAACAAACAGGAACUUUAAGCCUCGAAAGAGAAUAGCAAAAAGCAAGAGAGUGAAAAACCUUGAUUCUAGUCGUGGUUCCAGCCUCAAGAACCUGGAACAAACAGGGACUUGAGAGACUCGAAAAAAAU